rnacentral:pre_miRNA from 1 species
UGACUUUUUUCUAAGUCAAACCUUUUUAAGUUUGACCAAACUUAUAGAAAAAUAUAUCAAUAUUUUCCACGCCAAAACAAAGAAACUAUCAAAAUAUGUUCAAUGUUAGAUGUAAUGAAACUAAUUUUGUGUUAUAAGUGUUGCUAUAUUUUUGUAUAAACUUGAUCAAACUUUCAAGAAGUUUGACUUAAAAGAAAAGUCA